rnacentral:lncRNA from 1 species
CUAACCCAAAUUUUGGAAUUCCAAACUUAGGCCGAACAUGCCUAAACAACUCGGAAUGACCUCAAAAUUUACCCACAAGUCAUAAAUUACCAUACAAACCUAUUCCAAGGCUCAUAAUAACAAGUGAACAUCGAUAAGCACAAAGUCGACUAUGGGUCAAACAUAUGAACUUCUAAACCUUCAAACUUCCAACUUUUGCCAAUUAGAGCCAAAACAACCUAGGAACCUCCGAAUCCAAGUACGGACAUACGCCUAAGUCUAAAAUCACCAUUCAAACCUAAUAGAACUAUAAAAUAAGAGAUCCGAGGUCAAAUAAAUAAAAGUAACAGUUGGUCAAUACUUCCAACUUAAGCUUGUAAAUUAGGAACUAAGUAUUCCAAAUCACUUCGAAAUCUUUCCCGAACCAAACCAAUCAUGCACGCAAGUCGUAAUACAUCAUGUGAAGCUAUUCAAGACCUCAAACCAUCAAACGAAAUGACAAUACUCGAAAUGACCGGUCGGGUCUUUACAAUUUUCAAGGAUUUGCUCUAGCAUAUGAACCAUUCAUUGUUUUUGAGCAUCAGAAAACUUUCUUCUUGAGAUUUUACCAACCCCGAAGGUUGGUUCAUAUUCACUUCUUCAUCAAAGUUUUUAUUAUUUCGAUACUCAAUUUCUUCUCUUCUUGAAGGGGGCAAGUCCAUACUUUCUUGAAGUUGAAAAGGUUCUAGCAUUUGUUUCAUUUCUUUCACUUUAUUGCACCUAUCAAAUGCACCAAUAAAUGCAAAAAGAUCAUUAUAGGGGCCCAGAAAAGGAAAAAACACAUAAUAAUUGCAACCAUUUAAAUGACUAUUUUCACCACCACAAAUAUCACAUAUAAUCCACUCAAAGGAUUGAGAAGGUACAUAUAUCUAGCUCCCGAAAAUAUUUUAAUAAUCUUGUCACUGGUGGGGUCCUUCCCAAUAUUCACAAGGAUAACUAAAUUGAAAUUAUCCUCCAUCCCACCAUUCUUCAUUCCAAGAUUCCAUGAACUAGGAAAUAUCAACAAAGAACAACAAGAAACUACAUGAUGAUCAAUUAACAACACUUUUUUCUUUUUUUUUCCAUAAACACAAAAAAAAUCACAAGUUUUGACUAAAGAAAACAAAUCCAAUAUGCGAAUUGUUCCCGUCAACGGCGCCAAAAUUGAUAAUGUCCAAAUUCACUCCUAUUAGAUAGAAAUGGUACACAGUCAUAUAUACUAUAAUUUAUCCAACUAUGAGUCAGGAUCGAAUCUAACAGGGAACAAUAUAAGGAAUAAUGAGAAAGCAAAGGAAUUAUCACCCACUAACUCUAACCAGACGAAAUCGAGUAUGAUUUUGUUUUGAACUACAAUUUAAAUAUACAAAAUAAACACUAAAGUAAUUAAUGGGGAGAACUAGCUUUGGAAAUUCGGGGCCUUGGCAAAUAGUAAUUGAACUUAAAUUCAGGAAUAAUAUAAUGUAAUGCUAACCCACCAUUCAAUAAUUUCAAAAUUAAUUUUUCUUAGCCUUGGGUAAUAAUAAUUUAUUAGUACCUAUCGAACAUUAAAAAGACUUCCUAGUUGGCUAUAUCUAGCCCAACCAAGAGUACUAAGCACACUCAAAUUUAGUUAUAGCUUAGACUCUUCCUAUCUUUAGGUGAAUCUAUUAAAUGAGGUUUAAAGUCCCAAAUUGUGUUAAUUAAUCUUAUCAACCUUAAUUCACUUUCUCAGGUCAAAAUCAAAGUAAAUGGGCAAUUCCUAGGGAUGGUUAAUCCUUAUGGAAACAUAGAAGAACAAGACUAAUUAAAGCAACAAUAAGAUAUUGUCAUAACUAAUAGUAAUAAAAUACUACUUAAGCAGCAAAAGUCAAGAACAAAUUACUACUCAACAAAUCUUUCAACUUUCAUGUUCAAAGUCAUCACCUACACCAAAUAUUACAAUACAAAACAAGAAAAUAAAGAGAUGGAGUUUUAACAAAUUCUCAUUAAUGGCUCACCAAAUCUUUACUUCCAAGGUGAUAGGUGAUGAAACCCUAGCUUCAGAAGCUUAUAUUUCCACUCUGAAUCUCUCAAAAUCUCAUAGAAAAUGAAGUCUCUUCACAAAAAUCCUAAAGAUUUUAUUUAUAGAGUCCAAUAAAUGUGUUCCAAAAGUUAACAAAAAUGCCCCUGAUGUUAGUUCUGCUAAGAAAUAAUGGAUCGCAGAAUUGAUCUCCAGUCCACAAAACUCUUCGUUUGAUUUCAUAAUGGGACUUGAGAUCUGGAUCUGAAACUUCUAGUCAGACAUACGGCUCGCUUAAUGGACAUCAGAAGAGUUCUGCAUACCACAUAAUUUCCUAUGUACAGAUUGGAUUUUCAAUGUUCUCGACCUUUUAUCGCAAAUUAUAUUUGCGACUCGCAAAGGAGUUCUGUGGUUCACAUAUUUGAACGUAGAUUUUCCUUUUCUACAACUCGCAGAAUUGAUCGCAUAAUACUCUUAUAGAACUGGUAUGUUUUUUCCUUUUCUGCAGUUGCUUUCUUCACAUAUGCAUGCUCUUUUUGCGCCUCGCAAACUUUCCCAU